rnacentral:sRNA from 1 species
AUGAAGUUCUUCAUGGUCCUGCUGCUGGCCAGCCUAGCCUCCACCUCUCUCGCCAACCUAAUCCCUAGCGCCAAUGAUGUCUUGAGGCCCU